UACGUAGGCAGCAAGCGUUGUUCGGAAUUACUGGGCGUAAAGAGUGUGUAGGCGGUGUUCCAAGUCUGUUGUGAAAUCUCCCGGCUUAACUGGGAGGGUGCGGCGGAAACUGGAAUGCUCGAGGAUGGGAGAGGAAAGCGGAAUUCCUGGUGUAGCGGUGAAAUGCGUAGAUAUCAGGAGGAACACCCGUGGUGUAGACAGCUUUCUGGACCAUUUCUGACGCUGAGACACGAAAGCGUGGGUAGCAAACAGG
rnacentral:rRNA from 1 species